rnacentral:lncRNA from 1 species
CGAAUACUACCUGACUCCACAAGGGUACGGUGUAUUCUCCAGUUUUAGCAUCUGCCUUAAAAAUUACCUCAGAGUUAAGCACUGCUGGGGACUUAUUUCUACUCUUGGCAGGAGGAGAAAAGGAAAUGACAUCAGAGGUGCUUUGCUAAAGAUCACAGGAACUGCAGCUGUGGCCUUCCUAUUUCGCAGUUUUCCCCUUAAAUCUUUACACAGAUUCCCAUCAGAGUACAGUAAAACAAAAAUUAAAUAGAAUUCAUAUAUUUGAAAUCCUUGGCAUCAAUUCACUCCAGGAAUCCAAGACAGUACUCAACUGAAGGGGAAGCAAGCACAAGGGAGAUUUCUGGGACACUGAUACUGUUCCGUUUCUUCAUCUGAAUGCUGCUUAUGGGCCUUGUUCAAUUUGUGAAAAUUCAUGACUUUGUACAUUUAUGUUAAUUUCCCAGACACCCUACAGUGAGGGGUGACUUAUGACUGAAUUGACAGCCAAUGCAACAGAAGACUUGGUCCAUGAAAACCUCCCAUGCAAUAUCCCUUCCAUGCUCUUUUCUACCUGCUGGAUUGAUCGAGCUGAGCAUGCAACCUUGAAAAAAAAAGCCUUCAGGAGGGUAGAGUCACAAGAUGGAAGGAGCAUACAUCAUUACUUGCAGAGGGCCACUGGCUAACUGGGAACCUUUUUGGGACUGUAUGGGACCAAGAAAUAAAUUUAUUUCCUAUUUGAGCCGUUAAACAUUUCUGAGUUGUUUUGCUAUGGCAACUGGCAUUAACUAAUAUUGUGAACUUAAGGAGCUGACUGCUUUUUAAGGAGACACUUACCCCCCUCCACAAAACCACAAUACAACUUAGUAAGUGCUAUUAUAGAAUAAAAUUUAUACAAAAGCUGGAGAAGAGCAGUUAAUUUUGCCCAGAAAGCGUUCUUGAUAUAAGUAACAUGUGAACUGGGCUUUGAAGAAUAAAUAGAUAAGAAUUUACCAGGGAGACAAGUAGUGGAAAGGGGUGAUAUAAACAAAAACAUAAACAGGCAUAAUAUGCCCAGGAAUAUUUGUAUAUGGCUAAGUGUUUUUGUGAGGGGAGUGGGAACUAAGACCAGAAAAGUGGCCUGGGGUCAGACUGUGGUAUGGUAAAGAGAAUAAACAUUAUCUUGUAUGCAGCGAGAGUCAUUAAAGAUUUCAAGUAGCACAAUGAAGGAUGGUAGGCUAAAGGGGAGAGCUGGAGACAGUAAGAUAAAGGAGGAAGUACUGGUAGUGGAUGUGAAGAAGGGAUAGCACUGACAAAUAUGUGUGUGUGUGUCUGUGUGUAUUUACCUAUUUUUUUUUUAGAGAUGGGUUUCUACUUUGUGGCCCAGGCUGGAGUACAGUGGCUAUUUACAGGCUCCAUCCCAGUACUGAUCAGCAUGGGAGUUCUGACCUGCUCUGUUUCCGAUCUGGGCCAGUUCACCUCUCCUUAGGCAACCUGGUGGUCCCCAGCUCCUAAGGUCUGAGCGGUCACCAUACUGACGCUGAAUUUAACAUGGACAUGCAAUUGGCAUAGUACACUACAGCCAAGAACUCCUGGACUUAAGUGAUCCUCCUGCCUCAGCCUCUUGUGUGGCUGGGACUACAGGCAUGUGCCACUGUGCUCAGCUGACAAAUAUAUUUUUUCCAUAAGUUAUUGGGGUACAGGUGGUAUCUGGUUACAUAAGUCCUUUAGUGGUGAUCUGUGAGAUUUUGGUGCACUCGUCGCCCGAGCAAUAUACACUGUACCCUAUUUGUAGUCUUUUAUCCCUCAUCUCCCUCCCACCCUUCCCCCCAAGUCCCCAAAGUCCAUUGUAUUGUUCUUAUGCCUUUGCAUCCUCAUAGCUUAGGUUCCACAUAUCAGUGAGAACAAACAAUGUUUGGUUUUCCAUUCCUGAGUUACUUCAUUUAGAAUAAUAGUCUCCAAUCUCAACCAGGUCACUACAAAUGCCGUUAAUUAAUUCCUAUUUUUUUUUUUUUUUUGAGAGGGAGUUUCACUCUUGUUGCCCAGGCUGGAGUGCAGUGGCACAAUUUCGGCUCACUGCAACCUCUGCCUCCCAGAUUCAAGCAAUUCUCCUACCUCAGCCUCCCAAGUAGCUGGGAUUACAGGCAUGCACCACCAUGCCCGGCUAAUUUUUGUAUUUUUUUAGUAGAGACAGGGUUUCAUCAUGUUGGCCAGGCUGGUCUCAAACUCCUGACCUCAGGUGAUCCACCUGCCUUGGCCUCCCAAAGUGCUGGGAUUACAGGUGUGAGCCACCAUGCCUGGCCCCGUAAUUCAUUCCUUUUUAUGGCUGAGUAGUAUUCCAUCAUAUAUAUAUACCACAGUUUCUUUAUCCACUCGUUGAUGGAUGGGCAUUUGAGUUGGUUCCAUGAUUUUGCAAUUGCAAACUGUGCUGCUAUGAACAUGUGUAUGCAAAUAUCUUUUUUGUAUAAUGACUUCUUUUCCUCUGGGUAGACACCCAGUAGCUGGAUUGCUGGAUCAAAUGGUAGUUCUACUUUUAGUUCUUUAAGGAAUCUCCACACUGUUUUCCAUAGUGGUUGUACUAAUUUACAUUCCCACCAGCAGUGUAGAAAGUGUCCCCUGUUCACCGCAUCCACACCAACAUUUACUGUUUUUUGAUUUUUUGAUUAUGGCCAUUCUUGCAGGAGUAAGGUGGUAUUGCAUUGCGGUUUUGAUUUGUAUUUCCCUGAUCAUUAGUGAUGUUGAGUAUUUUUUCAUGUUUGUUGGCCAUUUGCAUAUCUUCUUUUGAGAACUGUGUCCUUAGCCUACUUUUUGAUGGGCUUGUUUUUUUCUUACAGAUUUGUGUUCAUUGUAGAUUCUGGAUAUUAGUCCUUUGUCAGAUGUAUAGAUUAUGAAGAUUUUCUCCCACUCUGUGGGUUUUCUGUUUACUCUGCUGUUUGUUCCUUUUGCCAUGCAAAAGCUCUUUAGUUUAAUUAAGUCCCAACUGUUUAUCUUUGUUUUUAAUACAUUUGCUUUCGGGUUCUUGGUCAUGAAAUCUUGCCUAAGCCAAAGUCUAGACGGGUUUUGCCAAUGUUAUCUUCUGUAAUUUUUAUAGUUUCAGGUCUUAGGUUUAAGUCCUUAAUCCAUCUUGAGUUGAUUUUUGUAUAAGGUGAGAGAUGAGGAUCCAGUUUCAUUCUCUGUAUGUGGCUAGCCAAUUAUCCCGCCACCAUUUAUUGAAAAGGAUGUCCUUUCCCCACUUUAUGGUUUUGUUUGCUUUGUCAAAGAUCAGUUAGCUGUAAGUAUUUAGGUUUAUUUCUGGGUUCUCUGUUCUGUUCCAUUGGUGUAUGUGACUAUUUUAUAUUGGUACCAUGCUGUUUUGGUGACUAUGGCCUUACAGUAUAGUUUAAAAUCAGGUAGUGUGAUGCCUCCAGAUUUGUUCUUUUUGCUUAGUCUUGCUUUGGCUAUGUGGGCUCUUUUUGGUUCCAUAUGAAUUUUAGAAUUGUUUUUUCUAAUUCUGUGAAGAAUGAUGGUGGUAUUUUGAUGGGGAUUGUGUUGAAUUUGUAGAUUGCUUUUGCCAGUAUGGUCAUUUUCACAAUACUGAUCCUACCCAGAGAUGAACUUGGGAUGUGUUUCCAUUUGUUUGUGUCAGCUGACAAAUAUUUUUGAUGUAAAAACUAACCUGAUUAGUGUGGUGGGCAAGGGGAGGGGGAUGGUAAAGGUGAAGAGCAGUGCAAGGUAAUCCUGAAGCCUCUGUCUUAGAAGAAUGAGUAAAGUCUUACAUACUGAGAAAAGUGGAUGUUCUGAGAUCAGAAAACAGGUGCAGAUUGUGGGGGAGAGAGGAGUUCAGUUUUACAAUAACUGAGUUUGAAAUACCAUUUUGAAACCCUCAGAUAGGUCAUGAGGUAUGAUCGGUCAGGCCUAAAACUUAUUUAAUUUAGGUAUGGGUCAUCUUUGGGAAGUGAGAAUAUGGGAAAGCCCUGAAUUGAAUUGAUAGGUAGAUCCCUAAGCCUCCUUGGGAGACAACACUUAUUUUUUAAAGUGUAAAUUUUAUUUUUUAAAACAAUGGUAAUCAUAUGAUUCAAAUAAACAAUUUAAUAAAGAGUGAAGUCUUUCUUUUCUCAUUUCUCAAGCAACUCAUUUUCUCCUCCCAGAGUAAGCAAUGUUUAUUGGAUUUCUUUUGUAUCCUUCCUGAUGUACUCUUUACACAUACCAGCACAUAUGCACAGAUCUUCUAUUUUUUUUUUUUUUUU